rnacentral:rRNA from 1 species
CAGCAGCCACGGUAAUCCGUAGGGUGCGAGCGUUAAUCGGAAUUACUGGGCGUAAAGCGUGCGCAGGCGGUUGUGUAAGACAGGUGUGAAAUCCCCGGGCUUAACCUGGGAACUGCGCUUGUGACUGCACAGCUAGAGUAUGGCAGAGGGGGGUGGAAUUCCACGUGUAGCAGUGAAAUGCGUAGAGAUGUGGAGGAACACCGAUGGCGAAGGCAGCCCCCUGGGCCAAUACUGACGCUCAUGCACGAAAGCGUGGGGAGCAAACAGGAUUAGAUACCCCCGUAGUCCCUGUCUCUUAUAC